rfam:Peptococcaceae bacterium CEB3 CEB3_contig000039, whole genome shotgun sequence.
UUGACCGACAGCAAAUUACCCGACGCCCAAGCGGCGUCGGAGAGCAUGAUGAAUAUGCUGACCACCGGUUUGGCCGGAGUGGAUGUGAUUCUUCACGCGG